GCCAGACUCCUACGGGAGGCAGCAGUGGGGAAUAUUGGACAAUGGGGGGAACCCUGAUCCAGCGACGCCGCGUGAGUGAAGAAGUAUUUCGGUAUGUAAAGCUCUAUCAGCAGGGAAGAAAAUGACGGUACCUGACUAAGAAGCCCCGGCUAACUACGUGCCAGCAGCCGCGGUAAUACGUAGGGGGCAAGCGUUAUCCGGAUUUACUGGGUGUAAAGGGAGCGUAGACGGUCCUGCAAGCCAGAUGUGAAAGCCCGGGGCUCAACCCCGGGACUGCAUUUGGAACUGUACGGCUGGAGUGCAGGAGAGGUAAGUGGAAUUCCUAGUGUAGCGGUGAAAUGCGUAGAUAUUAGGAGGAACACCAGUGGCGAAGGCGGCUUACUGGACUGUAACUGACGUUGAGGCUCGAAAGCGUGGGGAGCAAACAGGAUUAGAUACCCCGGUAGAC
rnacentral:rRNA from 1 species